GCUCUGAUUUUGAGAUCACGUUAUCAGUGCUGUUUUCAGGGAAUAUCCCGAGAUGGAAUGUUUUAGCGUAACGGAAUUCAAGUGAAGCGAUUGUGUCGUGGCUACUAAUUUUGCUAUUCUUAGUACAAAGCCUAACUCUGACCACGACGGAGGCAACCACUCGGGAAGUUUUCGUUGAUACGACGGCGAUUACUACGACCAUGGUGCCAACUAAGACUAGCCACACCACGGCGACUACGACCACAGCGCCAAUUGAGACUACUACUACGACUAUCACCACGACUAGCACUACUACGACCACCACUACAACAUCAACGACGACUACUACUACGACGACUACGACCACGACGACUACGACAACAACCACGACGACUACCACCACAACAACGACUAUUACUACCGCCACCUUGAAACCACGUAAGUGGUUUAUAUUGUGAAUCCUUGACAUUGACGAUUAUCGCUGCAGAAGUGUCGUUUGUACGUUGUGAAUUCUGUUCACUGCGUCACUGCUAAUCCAUAAUGUUCUUUCAUGCCCAGCUUGCCUCAUAAGUUUCUUGCUUGCGUCAGUUCAGUCGUUCAGGCAAUAUUUCACCCACUGGAUGAUGUGUGUUACUUCAUGUUCUUCACGGUCUCAGACAUCAAUCAACUAAAAAACAAGAAUCUCGGUCUUGCGAGAAGCAAAAUUGGUAUCGACAUACCGAGCUCAAAAGCAAACGCUAAUCAGGGCAAACUUCAAAAUUCCAUCGCAGCGUACUGGCCAAAGAUCAGAGACUUCGCUGUCCUGGACAUGGAACUCCGUCCAAGUGUUUCAACUUAUGUCGGUCAUGUCGAAGCACUUCUAACAGCGUUGACUGAAUUCUUUC